AUUAACAAAAUUCAAUUCAAAAAUUAAUCCAAUUAUCUAAAACUCUAAACAAAUUAACCAAUGAUCCAAACAAUUAUCCAAAAAAACAGCAUGAUUAAUAUCCUAAUAUUAAACUACUAUUAAUCUAAUAUUAUAACUAAUCCUAACAUUACACUAAACUAAUCCUAUGAUUAACCAAUUAACCUCAGUCCAGCAUGGGCCUUGGCUAGAGGAUAUGGCAAAGCCCAGACGCAGGGAGGUGUACUGAGCCUUGUGAGUGUGUGGAGCAGAAAACUAUGCUUGGGCCUCAAUUGGAGGCCCAAGGUAGAAACAGCAAAGCGCAUCGCCUCCUACCUCUUCACGCUCUAAACUCAACAAAGAGAAAACGUGAGACAACGUAAAAGCCUAGCCGUGUCGGCUUUCACCAUCGGCGGCGGCGGUUCACCUUGAAGCGUUACACCAUUCUACGCGACCUUAAACUCUCCUAAUUGAAACGGGAAGCAAAUACUCCACACACACAAAAAACCAGAUCGCUACUACGGCUCGUUCUUACCGGCGACGGCGAAGACGAACUCGAAAAUCCGGUAUCCUGCACGAUUCGGUUCUGCAACCAUCUAUCCUCCACUUGUCCUUCAGUUACAAACUUCUGCUACGAUCUACCGUAGAUCACGACUUGGUAUUAUCACUCUAUUUUGUCUGGAUUCACCGUGGUUGUCGCGGAACGAAUGUGGCGGCGACGACGAUUUGAUUAUGCAGGUGGAGGAAGCAUGUGGUGGUGGUUCGUUAUUAAAGAUUGAGGAUCAUUGAAGGAUUUAAGGAGAAAUGGAAGGUGGAGUGAGGAAACGGUUAUGGCGGUCUUUUGUGAGAAAUGGUUAUGGAAAUUUGAUCAAGUUUUGGUGGAGUUUGAGGGGAAAGAAGAAGAACGAUUCUGAAAAAAAAGAAAAGAAAAUGGCGAGAGCCUUCCCAAGGUGAGUUUAUGAAUUUAUAUAGAACUGAAAAUGGAUGAGCUUGAAGUCUGUGUUUUGGUUUUUCUGUUGCAUUUCUAUUUUCCGUUUAUUGCAGUUUUCAAUGGCUUGUUGGCUUAUGAGAGCUGAGUUUGAAGCUUGGUUUGCUGCGUUUCCCAUUCAGUUGUCGUUUACUACUUUGGUUGCCGUUUUGGUCUUGGCGCUGCGUUUGGAAGUAGUGUUAUGUGCGUUUGCGUUUUGAAUCGUUCACAUGCCGUCUUGGAUUAGUUGAUGCGCUUUUGCUCAUGCCGUUUUGUUAUGCAGCUUUUCCAUGUGGUAGCUUAUUGGCUUAUGCAGCUCAUGUUUGGAAGCUGCACUUGUUUGGAGCUGGUUUUGCAGCUGGUGUUGCUUGUGUAACAGCUUUGGUUUAUGUGGAAGCUCAUAGCUGUUAUGCCGGCGUUGUGGCUUGAGGCUUGUUGCCUAGUUUAUGAGGUUUGUGCGGUAGCUGUUAGCAGCUUGUGUGUUCGCUGUUGUGGCCUUUGCAGUGCGUUUGGAAAUUUGUUGGCUUGCAGCGUUUGGCUGCAGCUUGCAUUGUCGGCGUUGGUUGCCGUUUUGGUAGCUUUCACAUUUCAAUCCAUUUUACUGCACUUGGUUUUUUUCACUGCAGAUUACCACUUGCAGCUUUUUCAAACUGUGUUUUCCUGUACUUCCUGUAUUACUGCUAUGGGUCAUAUGUGUUAUGUUACUUGUAAAUGGGCUCAAUAAAAUGCAAUGAUCUUUUUCCAUGAA